rnacentral:rRNA from 1 species
AACGAACGCUGGCGGCAGGCUUAACACAUUCAAGUCGAGCGCCCCGCAAGGGGAGCGGCAGACGGGUGAGUAACGCGUGGGAAUCUACCCAUCUCUACGGAAUAACGCAUGGAAACGUGUGCUAAUACCGUAUACGUCCUUCGGGAGAAAGAUUUAUCGGAGAUGGAUGAGCCCGCGUUGGAUUAGCUAGUUGGUGGGGUAAAGGCCUACCAAGGCGACGAUCCAUAGCUGGUCUGAGAGGAUGAUCAGCCACACUGGGACUGAGACACGGCCCAGACUCCUACGGGAGGCAGCAGUGGGGAAUAUUGGACAAUGGGCGCAAGCCUGAUCCAGCCAUGCCGCGUGGGUGAUGAAGGCCCUAGGGUUGUAAAGCUCUUUCACCGGUGAAGAUAAUGACGGUAACCGGAGAAGAAGCCCCGGCUAACUUCGUGCCAGCCGCCGCAGUAAUAC